rnacentral:rRNA from 1 species
GACACACGGCGGGUGCUAACGUCCGUCGUGAAGAGGGAAACAACCCAGACCGCCAGCUAAGGUCCCAAAGUCAUGGUUAAGUGGGAAACGAUGUGGGAAGGCCCAGACAGCCAGGAUGUUGGCUUAGAAGCAGCCAUCAUUUAAAGAAAGCGUAAUAGCUCACUGGUCGAGUCGGCCUGCGCGGAAGAUGUAACGGGGCUAAACCAUGCACCGAAGCUGCGGCAGCGACGCUUAUGCGUUGUUGGGUAGGGGAGCGUUCUGUAAGCCUGCGAAGGUGUGCUGUGAGG